AGUGGCGAACGGGUGAGUAACACGUGGGUAACCUGCCCAUCAGAGGGGGAUAACUAUUGGAAACGAUAGCUAAUACCGCAUAAUAUUGACUAUUGCAUGAUAGUCAGUUGAAAGGUGCAACUGCACCACUACCAGAUGGACCUGCGUUGUAUUAGCUAGUUGGUGGGGUAACGGCUCACCAAGGCGACGAUACAUAGCCGACCUGAGAGGGUGAUCGGCCACACUGGGACUGAGACACGGCCCAGACUCC
rnacentral:rRNA from 1 species